ensembl:lincRNA uncharacterized LOC102015855
AAUGGCCUCCCUCCAGGAGCAAGCAAAGAAGGCGAGUAACCUCUCCCAAGUCACAGAGACAAAGAAAAUAAAUUUGAAGAAAAGCCAUGAAGAUAGAUAUUUUGCAGAUACAUAGAGAUCGACAGAGACACACUAGAAGUAAGAAAAACCCUUUAACUGGAAGGCUUGAUGAUGAAAACUCUGGAAGGCAGGUGCUGCUCUUUGCCACAGAAGGAAGACUGGCUCUGGUAUUAUUUGAUCCAGGAUGAAAAGAUGACAUGGCAGUCACCUGUCAGUCCUGUGGUACUGCUGUGGUCCAUCACAACUUGCAAGAAUACCUGUCCCUAUGACUCCAACCUCGGGAACUUCUGCUCUGUGAAGUAUGUUAUUCCGACAUCUUAUUUCCUUGGGUUCUGCAGCAGCAUUUUCAACACCCCAGUUUCAAUUUUCUCUUGUCAUAAAUACUCUGUGUGAUGGGCUCAUUACAUUGAACUUAUUUUUAAAUUUCAAUACAAUGCCUUCAAUUUGUUAUUUAACCAUUCUGAAUUUUCCUAAUUACCCAGUAUCACCAUACAAUAAGCUCAGUAUUAAAAUAAACUAUGGCUUGGAGCAGCAUUUUUGUACUUUUUUCACUCUUUCUUAGGAAUACAUUGGCUUUUUAAGUGAAUAUGAAAAUUCAGAUAUGUAUGCCUCAAGUUUCCUGUUAAUUUUAGCACAAUCUAGACUGUUCUGAGCCUCUCACUUGCUUGAAAGAAGGCAAAUCUUUUUAUUUCAAAGUACAGAACUAUUUCUGAGAGUGCAGUCAGGGUUGACAAAGGUUAUUCUAGCAAGUUUAGGAGUUUAACUAACAAUAAAAAUAACCUCUAUUCUUAUUUCUAACAAUCUAAUUAGGAAAAGUGGUCAUUUUAUUUUGUGCAUGUUUCUUCCAAUUGAAAUUGUGUUACAAACUUAGCUACUUUUUUAUUUGGUACAUGAAAUGAAUAAAAUGAAUUAAAUAUCUGGACUGUUACUAGUGUGAAG